GUUUUGGUGUAUCCUAUUUUUUUUUUCUUUCCAAUUACACCCUCCGUUUUUAAUGAGAAUUUCACCUUUUACCCGUGAAAACUAAACAACAGUUACGUAAAUUUGAGAUUUCCCUUUCUUAACUUUAGUAACCGACUACAUCUCCUCCUCUCCUUUCACUUUCAAUGUCAAAUACUCAGAGUCUCAAUCUUUUCCCUAUAAAUUUCUGAGGAGGACUCAGGGUAUGGUGAUGCUAAGUUAACAUUUACACCACUCAACAACCAUAAAUGCCUUGCACUUUGUAAUGUUAAAGAGAUAAACGAGGGUGCGAGAAAAGAAGAUAUUAUAGAGAAGACAAAAGCAGAAGGAUGACCGCGGAAGCAGCCCACGCGCAUGGAAGUCUGCGGCAGUGAAGGGAUAACUGAUCUGAGGCCCUCAAUCAAACAAAAACUGAAUAGAAUGUGAAGUUGAAACAUGGAGUUUAGUCAUAAAAUUGAUAUCAGGAAAUCUGAGAGGAAGAAGGAGUGAACCCUCCAAUGGAAGAGAGAAAGGCACCAUACAGGAAUCUCUCUGAUCUCUCUAAUUUUUCUAUAUCUCUAAUCUCUCCUUUUCUUUUGAUCCUUUCACUUUCUAAAUUUAUUAUUUUACAGCAAUUUUGUAAACAUGAUGAUGACACCAUACAGGAAUCAACCAUUGUCAUCACUUUUACCCUUCAAACUUCAGGUUUGAUUUUUUAUUGAUUUUUUCAUGUUGAAUCAAGUUUGGUGUUAAAUUGCAUUCUAUUUGCCAUUUAGUUGGUUUAUUAUUCCAUUAUUCUCAAUUUUCCGAUAGCUAUACGGGAACCAAUGUGUUUAUUUAUUUUAAUCUCUUGAAGUCAUUUACGUGAUUUUGUUGUCUCGGUAAACAUUAUCAAGGUUUAGUAGUUUGAUUGCCACAAUCCUUAGAGUAAUUUUUUAAAUAAUAAAUUGCUCACAAAUAUAUCAGGUGUGGGCGUAAUUUUAUCACAGGUUAAUUAACGAAUUCAAUAAAAAAAAAAAGAAUAUCACAUUUUAUUUAUACUUCUUCAUCUACCAUUACUUGCUACAAAUAUGACAGGCUGCUUCAGUGUUAUCUUUUAGAAAUUAUUUGUUUCUAUAUCAGGUACAUGUCAAGUUACAAGCAUGUUAAGGCAAAGUAUUCAUUGACCAUUGGAGCUCAAUGCAACACGUGUUUGUUUUGAUUCAUUGUGGUUGAUCAAAUUCAUCUCUAUUAUUGGAUCAUUAUUGUUUUUUCUUUUGUAUUUUUUUCUAUAGGUUGUUACUAUGAGAAUUAAGGAUUGGAAAUUAUGUAGAUUGUUUAUAUUGGACUGCACAAUCUCAUUAUUGUGGUUGAUUCAUUGGGGUCAAUAUCCUCUCCAUUUAUAAAUUUCUCCAUUUGUUCCAUUCAGAGAGAUAAAGACACAUAAAAAGUAAAAAAUAAUUAAUGAUGGUGGGACCCAUUUAGUGAUAGGACCCGCCACUUAUUUUUUGUGUCUAUCUCUCUCCAAAUUGCAACAAAUGGAAAAAUUUAUAAAUGGAGAGGAUCUUGACCCGAUUCAUUGUGGUUGUUUUGAUUCAUUGUGGUUGAUCAAAUUCAUCUCUAUUAUUGGAUCAUUAUUGUUUUUUCUUUUGUAUUUUUUUCUAUAGGUUGUUACUAUGAGAAUUAAGGAUUGGAAAUUAUGUAGAUUGUUUAUAUUGGACUGCACAAUCUCAUGGCCUAGGAUCCUUGGAACAAAAUGCACAAGCAGCAGUCAACAAUCAAGACAAUAGCAAUAGGAAAGACGAACACAAAAUGCAAGAGAUAGAAUAUAAAUAAAGCAUUUUGAGUAUUUAAAAGAACAGUCAUGUGUACAUUUGUGUUAGAAUCAAAAUUGUACAAAGAAGAUUGGUAAAAUAUAUACACUUAAGUGCAAUAAGGAGAUGACAAAGACCCAAAUGAAUCAUAGCCGAGUGGGGAUGGAUAGCUCACUUAGUUAAGUUAAAGGAUUAAAUGAGUUAAAUAUAUAUCAUAAUCUUAAAUAUUACUCUAUAUUUCUUCCUAAUGGUGUUAAAUAAAUUACUAUAGUAUUUGUGUAUGA